rnacentral:rRNA from 1 species
GAUGAACGCUGGCGGCGUGCCUAAUACAUGCAAGUCGAGCGAACGGACGAGAAGCUUGCUUCUCUGAUGUUAGCGGCGGACGGGUGAGUAACACGUGGAUAACCUACCUAUAAGACUGGGAUAACUUCGGGAAACCGGAACUAAUACCGGAUGAUAUUUUGAACCGCAUGGUUCAAAAGUGAAAGACGGUCUUGCUGUCACUUAUAGAUGGAUCCGCGCUGCAUUAGCUAGUUGGUAAGGUAACGGCUUACCAAGGCAACGAUGCAUAGCCGACCUGAGAGGGUGAUCGGCCACACUGGAACUGAGCCACGGUCCAGACUCCUACGGGAAGCAGCAGUAGGGAAUCUUCCGCAAUGGGCGAAAGCCUGACGGAGCAACGCCGCGUGAGUGAUGAAGGUCUUCGGAUCGUAAAACUCUGUUAUUAGGGAAGAACAUAUGUGUAAGUAACUGUGCACAUCUUGACGGUACCUAAUCAGAAAGCUACGGCUAACUACGUG